UACGUAGGGUGCAAGCGUUGUCCGGAAUUAUUGGGCGUAAAGAGCUCGUAGGCGGUCUGUCGCGUCGGAUGUGAAAAUCCAGGGCUCAACCCUGGACCUGCAUUCGAUACGGGCAGACUAGAGUUCGGUAGGGGAGACUGGAAUUCCUGGUGUAGCGGUGAAAUGCGCAGAUAUCAGGAGGAACACCGGUGGCGAAGGCGGGUCUCUGGGACGGUACUGACGCUGAGGAGCGAAAGCGUGGGGAGCGAACAGG
rnacentral:rRNA from 1 species